rnacentral:rRNA from 1 species
AGAGUUUGAUCCUGGCUCAGGAUGAACGCUAGCUACAGGCUUAACACAUGCAAGUCGAGGGGAAACGACAUCGAAAGCUUGCUUUUGAUGGGCGUCGACCGGCGCACGGGUGAGUAACGCGUAUCCAACCUGCCCACCACUUGGGGAUAACCUUGCGAAAGUAAGACUAAUACCCAAUGACGUCUCUAGAAGACAUCUGAAAGAGAUUAAAGAUUUAUCGGUGAUGGAUGGGGAUGCGUCUGAUUAGCUUGUUGGCGGGGUAACGGCCACCAGGGGCGACGAUCAGUAGGGGUUCUGAGAGGAAGGUCCCCCANAUUGGAACUGAAGACACGGUCCAAACUCCUACGGGAGGCA